rnacentral:misc_RNA from 1 species
UGGAAACCAUGAGCAUCGCACAUCAAGUGCACUGGAGCGACAUCGUGAUGAUGCUGUAGGACUCUCCAACUCGUCGAGGACUUUGGUUGCUGCACGGGAAGGAAGAAGUAGGCUAGUCACUGAGAUUCGCAAUGUGUUAGAUCUUAUGCGCAGGAAUGAAGGGCUAAAUGUUGAGGAUGUUAUGAUCCUUGAUCACUCGGUGUUCUUUGGGAUGCCGGAUAUUCAAGAUCGCCAUAGAGAUAUGCGUCUUGAUGUUGAUAAUAUGUCAUACGAGGAGUUAUUGGCACUCGGAGAGCGCAUUGGGGAUGUUUGCACCGGGCUAAGUGAAGAAACUAUUUCAAGUCGUUUGAAGCAGCGCAACUUUAUUAGCAUUAAAACAGAACAACCCGAGGAAGCAGAACCAUGCUGCAUAUGCCGGGAGGAAUAUAGCAACGGGGAUGGUCUCGGAACACUGGAGUGUGGACAUGAUUUCCAUACAGACUGCAUUAAACAAUGGCUCAUGCAGAAGA